CCUACGUGGUGCUGCAGUGGGGAAUAUUGGACAAUGGGCGAAAGCCUGAUCCAGCCAUGCCGCGUGUGUGAAGAAGGCCUUCGGGUUGUAAAGCACUUUCAGUGGGGAAGAAAGCCUUGGGGCUAAUACCCUCGAGGAAGGACAUCACCCACAGAAGAAGCACCGGCUAACUCCGUGCCAGCAGCCGCGGUAAUACGGAGGGUGCGAGCGUUAAUCGGAAUUACUGGGCGUAAAGCGCGCGUAGGCGGUCUGAUAAGCCGGUUGUGAAAGCCCCGGGCUCAACCUGGGAACGGCAUCCGGAACUGUCAGGCUAGAGUGCAGGAGAGGAAGGUAGAAUUCCCGGUGUAGCGGUGAAAUGCGUAGAGAUCGGGAGGAAUACCAGUGGCGAAGGCGGCCUUCUGGACUGACACUGACGCUGAGGUGCGAAAGCGUGGGUAGCAAACAGGAUUAGAUACCCUAGUAGUC
rnacentral:rRNA from 1 species